rnacentral:rRNA from 2 species
AACGAACGCUGGCGGCAGGCUUAACACAUGCAAGUCGAGCGCCCCGCAAGGGGAGCGGCAGACGGGUGAGUAACGCGUGGGAAUCUACCUUUUGCUACGGAAUAACGCAGGGAAACUUGUGCUAAUACCGUAUGUGUCCUCCGGGAGAAAGAUUUAUCGGCAAGAGAUGAGCCCGCGUUGGAUUAGCUAGUUGGUGGGGUAAAGGCCUACCAAGGCGACGAUCCAUAGCUGGUCUGAGAGGAUGAUCAGCCACAUUGGGACUGAGACACGGCCCAAACUCCUACGGGAGGCAGCAGUGGGGAAUAUUGGACAAUGGGCGCAAGCCUGAUCCAGCCAUGCCGCGUGAGUGAUGAAGGCCCUAGGGUUGUAAAGCUCUUUCACCGGAGAAGGUAAUGACGGUAUCCGGAGAAGAAGCCCCGGCUAACUUCGUGCCAGCCGCCGCGGUAA